rnacentral:rRNA from 1 species
AAUGAACGCUGGCGGCGCGCCUAAUACAUGCAAGUCGAGCGAGAAGACGUAGCAAUACGUUUGUAAAGCGGCGAACGGGUGAGGAAUACAUGGGUAACCUACCCUCGAGUGGGGAAUAACUAGCCGAAAGGUUAGCUAAUACCGCGUACGCUCCUUGGACUUCGGUUCAGGGAGGAAAGCGAUACCGUGGGUAUCGCGCUCUUGGUUGGGCUCAUGUCCUAUCAGCUUGUUGGUGAGGAACGGCUCACCAAGGCUUCGACGGGUAGCUGGUCUGAGAGGACGAUCAGCCACACUGGCACUGCGACACGGGCCAGACUCCUACGGGAGGCAGCAGUGGGGAAUCUUGC